UGGCGGCAGGCCUAACACAUGCAAGUCGAGCGGUAACAUUUCUAGCUUGCUAGAAGAUGACGAGCGGCGGACGGGUGAGUAACGCGUAGAAAUCUACCUAGUAGUGGGGGAUAGCCCAGAGAAAUUUGGAUUAAUACCGCAUACGCCCUACGGGGGAAAGCGGGGGAUCUUCGGACCUCGUGCUAUUAGAUGAGUCUGCGUCGGAUUAGCUUGUUGGUGAGGUAAUGGCUCACCAAGGCGACGAUCCGUAGCUGGUCUGAGAGGAUGACCAGCCACACUGGAACUGAGACACGGUCCAGACUCCUACGGGAGGCAGCAGUGGGGAAUAUUGCACAAUGGGCGCAAGCUUGAUGCAGCCAUGCCGCGUGUGUGAAGAAGGCCUUAGGGUUGUAAAGCACUUUCAGCAGUGAGGAAAGGGGUGUCGUUAAUAGCGCCAUCCUGUGACGUUAACUGCAGAAGAAGGACCGGCUAACUCCGUG
rnacentral:rRNA from 1 species